GGCAGAAUGGCAUAGUGGUUUGAGCCUUGGACUAUGACUCUGGAGGCCAGGGUUCAAAUCUUGACUGGGCCA